CCCUUAGAUGUUCUGGGCUGCACACGCGCUACACUGACGCACGCAACAGGUGCCUGCUCCGAGAGGACUGGGUAAUCAUUUGAGUGUGCGUCGUGAUGGGGAUAGAAUAUUGUAAUUAUUACUCUUCAACGAGGAAUUCCUAGUAAGCGCCAGUCAGCAGCUUGCGCUGAUUACGUCCCUGCCCUUUGUACACACCGCCCGUCGCUCCUACCGAUGGGUGAUCCGGUGAAUGAUUCGGACUUCAGCGGCUCCCCUGGGGUGCGCCGGAGAAAGUUUUGUGAACCUUAUCACUUGGAGGAAGGAGAAGUCGUAACA
rnacentral:rRNA from 1 species